GUGGGGAAUCUUGCGCAAUGGGCGAAAGCCUGACGCAGCCAUGCCGCGUGAAUGAUGAAGGUCUUAGGAUUGUAAAAUUCUUUCACCGGGGACGAUAAUGACGGUACCCGGAGAAGAAGCCCCGGCUAACUUCGUGCCAGCAGCCGCGGUAAUACGAAGGGGGCUAGCGUUGCUCGGAAUUACUGGGCGUAAAGGGAGCGUAGGCGGACAGUUUAGUCAGAGGUGAAAGCCCAGGGCUCAACCUUGGAAUUGCCUUUGAUACUGGCUGUCUUGAGUUUGGGAGAGGUGUGUGGAACUCCGAGUGUAGAGGUGAAAUUCGUAGAUAUUCGGAAGAACACCAGUGGCGAAGGCGACACACUGGCCCAAUACUGACGCUGAGGCUCGAAAGCGUGGGGAGCAAACAGGAUUAGAUACCCUUGUAGUCC
rnacentral:rRNA from 1 species